UACGGAGGAUCCAAGCGUUAUCCGGAUUUAUUGGGUUUAAAGGGUGCGCAGGCGGAAGAUUAAGUCGGCGGUGAAAUUUUGCAGCUCAACUGUAAAAGUGCCAUCGAUACUGGUUUUCUUGAGUGUGGAUGAAGUAGGCGGAAUUUGUGGUGUAGCGGUGAAAUGCUUAGAUAUCACGAGGAACUCCGAUUGCGCAGGCAGCUUACUAAACCACUACUGACGCUCAGGCACGAAGGCGUGGGGAUCAAACAGGAUUAGAUACCCCUGUA
rnacentral:rRNA from 1 species